GACGAACGCUGGCGGCGUGCUUAACACAUGCAAGUCGAACGGAAAGGCGCUGCUUUUGUGGGGUGCUCGAGUGGCGAACGGGUGAGUAACACGUGAGUAACCUGCCCUUGACUUUGGGAUAACUUCAGGAAACUGGGGCUAAUACCGGAUAGGAGCUCCUGCUGCAUGGUGGGGGUUGGAAAGUUUCGGCGGUUGGGGCUGGACUCGCGGCUUAUCAGCUUGUUGGUGGGGUAGUGGCUUACAAAGGCUAUGACGGGUAGCCGGCCUGAGAGGGUGACCGGCCACAUUGGGACUGAGAUACGGCCCAGACUCCUACGGGAGGCAGCAGUGGGGAAUAUUGCACAGUGGGCGGAAGCCUGAUGCAGCAACGCCGCGUGCGGGAUGACGGCCUUCGGGUUGUAAACCGCUUUCGCCUGUGACGAAGCGUGAGUGACGGUAAUGGGUAAAGAAGCACCGGCUAACUACGUG
rnacentral:rRNA from 1 species